ACUGAACGCUGGCGGCAGGCCUAACACAUGCAAGUCGAGCGGAUGAGUGGAGCUUGCUCCAUGAUUCAGCGGCGGACGGGUGAGUAAUGCCUAGGAAUCUGCCUAUUAGUGGGGGACAACGUUUCGAAAGGAACGCUAAUACCGCAUACGCCCUACGGGGAAAGGGGGGAUCGCAAGACCUCCCGCUAUCAGAUGAGCCC
rnacentral:rRNA from 1 species